rnacentral:rRNA from 43 species
UUGACCUCAAAUCAGGUA